rnacentral:lncRNA from 1 species
UCCCCCUAUCUUCUUUCAUCUUUAUCUGGUUGUAUCACCUAGUGCCAAUCCCCAAGCAUGUGCACAGUAGAUAGCAUGCAGCCAAGAAUUAAUGAUAUCCCAAGAUAACAUAGUGUGGUAUGCAUGGAAAACCCUUAUAGGGGCCACUUGCAGAGGUCACAUAUGGGCGGUCUCAGCAUCAUCCAAGAUCGAACACAAUCAUCUGAGAUCAGAUGCAAUCGUCUAAGGUCGACUUCGGCAUAUGCUUGUUUAAGGUAUCUCUUGCAGCAAAUUUUGGAGCUGUUAAAAGCUAGAUCAGUUCAAGGGGCCACUUGUGCACGCGAAAGCAUGACUACUCGAGGGGUCCGUCCGUAGAUAGCCUCAUCAUGAUCCAAAGUCAGAUGCAUGAGGUUCCUAUUCCUCCUAUUGAAGAGUGGGAUCUUCUUCACCUUCACUGAAGGGUGGGGUUUUCUGCUUCCCUACUGAAGAGUAAAGUCUUCGACUUUCCUAUUGAAGAAUAGGGCCUUUGGUCAACGAAUUUCGGCUCUCGCCU